CCUACGGGUGGCAGCAGUGGGGAAUAUUGCACAAUGGGGGAAACCCUGAUGCAGCGACGCCGCGUGAGCGAUGAAGUAUUUCGGUAUGUAAAGCUCUAUCAGCAGGGAAGAAAAUGACGGUACCUGACUAAGAAGCCCCGGAUAACUACGGGCAAGCAGCCGCGGUAAGACGUAGGGGGCCAGCGUUAUCCGGAUUUACUGGGUGUAAAGGGAGCGUAGGCGGUCCUGCAAGCCAGAUGUGAAAGCCCGGGGCCCAACCCCGGGACUGCAUUUGGAACUGGAAGGCUAGAGUGUCGGAGAGGCAGGCGGAAUUCCUGGUGUAGCGGUGAAAUGCGUAGAUAUUAGGAGGAACACCAGUGGCGAAGGCGGCCUGCUGGACGAUGACUGACGUUGAGGCUCGAAAGCGUGGGUAGCAAACAGGAUUAGAUACCCGGGUAGUC
rnacentral:rRNA from 1 species